rnacentral:lncRNA from 1 species
UAUUUCAGCCCUCCUGCCACUUUAGCAGUUUCUGAUGUUUAAUUUCCUCGUUUCAUUCCAGAGACAGAGAAUGCUGAUUCACUAUGCAGUGAAACAUGCCUAACGUGUCAACAGCUAAUGCCCGGUGACAGAGUGGUUGUCUGGGCAACAGAAGAAGUCACCCACGCAAACACUUAAAGAAAUUAGGAUCAUCCUCUGCAUGUGAAGGAACAGAGAAGCACUCAGCUCUACCCUUUGGAGCAGGGGAUUGGACAGCAUGAGCCUUCAAUCAUAUCUCUUGGAUGACCAAGGAAGGCUGGAUUUGUGCACCUAAAAAAUGGAAGCACAAACUGUACAACAAAUACUCUCCGUUCAAGUUGAAGUUCUCAAAUAAGGAUUGUGAUGAAAGCUGACU